GCCCCUGUAGUUUAAUGGACAGAAUAGGAGUUUCCUAAACUCUUGAUCCAGGUUCGAUUCCUGGCAGGGGUA
rnacentral:tRNA from 1 species